GGAUUGUAGCUCGGUGGUAGAGUGCGUGCCUAGCAUGUGGGAGACCCUGGGUUUGAUCCUCAGCACCA
rnacentral:tRNA from 1 species